rnacentral:misc_RNA from 1 species
GAUGAAGAACGUAGCGAAAUGCGAUAAGUAAUGUGAAUUGCAGAAUUCAGUGAAUCAUCGAAUCUUUGAACGCACAUUGCGCCCGCCAGUAUUCUGGCGGGCAUGCCUGUUCGAGCGUCAUUUCAACCCUCAAGCCCCAGCGGCCUGGUGUUGGGGACCGGCGACCUCGCCCGAGCCCGCCCUCCGGGGCGCGUGCCCGGUGCGUCCGCCGCCCCCGAAAUGAAUUGGCGGCCUCGUCGCGGCCUCCUCUGCGUAGUAGCACAACCUCGCAAGCGGGAGCGCGACGCGGCCACUGCCGUAAAACGCCCAACUUUUUUAGAGUUGACCUCGGAUCAGGUAGGAAUACCCGCUGAACUUAAGCAUAUCAAUAAGCAGAGGA